UGGGGAAUUUUGGACAAUGGGCGCAAGCCUGAUCCAGCCAUGCCGCGUGCGGGAAGAAGGCCUUCGGGUUGUAAACCGCUUUGUCAGGGAAGAAAUCUUCUGAGUUAAUACCUCGGGAGGAUGACGGUACCUGAAGAAUAAGCACCGGCUAACUACGUGCCAGCAGCCGCGGUAAUACGUAGGGUGCAAGCGUUAAUCGGAAUUACUGGGCGUAAAGCGUGCGCAGGCGGUUUUGUAAGACAGAGGUGAAAUCCCCGGGCUCAACCUGGGAACUGCCUUUGUGACUGCAAGGCUUGAGUGCGGCAGAGGGGGAUGGAAUUCCGCGUGUAGCAGUGAAAUGCGUAGAUAUGCGGAGGAACACCGAUGGCGAAGGCCAAUCCCCUGGGCCUGCACUGACGCUCAUGCACGAAAGCGUGGGGAGCAAACAGGAUUAGAUACCCUGGUAGUCCACGCCCUAAACGAUGCCAACUGGCUUGUUGGGGGAGGUUCCUUCUCAGUAACGUAGCUAACGCGUGAAGUUGACCGCCUGGGGAGUACGGCCGCAAGGUUGAAACUUAAAUGAAUUGACGGGGU
rnacentral:rRNA from 1 species